GUGUUGAACUAGGGGUGUCCGGUUAGUCCGGACUGAGAGGGAGAAGCGUUUAAGUUUUCCUAACUCUUUGGACCUGAUCUGGCUCGUACCAGCGUGGGGAAGUUUCGAUUCAUUAUA
rnacentral:ncRNA from 2 species